rnacentral:lncRNA from 1 species
UUUCUUUGGGCUGAGGCUUUAUUUCCAACAUUUUUGGUGUGAAGCCCAAACUGUUUUGGAUUUUAUUUUUUCUCAAAUCUCUGGGCUGGGCAGGCAAUUUUAUAAUGGGCCUGCCUUCUGGUCUUGGGCGUGCCGAAUUUGGGCCCAAACAAUGCCCCCUAAGUCUGAAUCGUUUUGGAACGGUUUCAGACUUAAUGUUUUGCCAUUUAAUUCGCGCGCCAGUUUCUUCCGUGUUUUCGCCCACGUCUGCCACGUUUGCCUGCUACGAACUAGAGUUCGUGGGAAAACGGCUAGUUAUUAGCUAGUUACUAGCUAAUAAUCAUCAGGUGUCGUCCCAUCUUCUUCUUCCCACGUUUCCGAGCCCCUCUUUUUAAAAGAAAUUCAAACUCAUAGCUUCUAAAAAAGAAAAACCCUAAACCUUCCAACUCUUGUUCCUGCGAGCUUUUUCUUCGAGAUCUCCAUAGCUUUCUUCAGACCUCCCCUUCCUCUGCUUCUUCCCUCAAACCAGAAAUGUCUUCC